CUUCCUUUGGCUAAAAAUUAAGCAUUUACGUAUCGGAAAGGUUUUCAAACGUGAAAGGAUUUGCCACAGGCCUAUUAUUCGUGGAGCUCAUUCAUGCAAUUAGCUUAAAACAGGAUGAUGAUUGACAUGCCAUUUUGUGGACUCCAAAUCAGAUGAUAUAUUCGAAGGAUGAUGCUGGCGCAAGAUCUUUCGUCCUUUAUUCGAUGAAGUAUGCUGAAACAGAACAUAGAGCCGAUUUUAUCAGGUGUUCCUGAUCAUCAGGUAGACGAUGAUCGAUGUCUAGAGUAUGAUGUACCGUUUCAAUUUGAUUUCCAAAAUGGCAAUCCUAA